UGCGCAGGCGGUUUUGUAAGACAGAUGUGAAAUCCCCGGGCUUAACCUGGGAACUGCGUUUGUGACUGCAAGGCUAGAGUACGGCAGAGGGGGGUGGAAUUCCUGGUGUAGCAGUGAAAUGCGUAGAUAUCAGGAGGAACACCGAUGGCGAAGGCAGCCCCCUGGGCCUGUACUGACGCUCAUGCACGAAAGCGUGGGGAGCAAACA
rnacentral:rRNA from 1 species